GGCUCUGUAGUACAAUGGAUAGUAUGUGGGUUUCCGGAGCCUAAGAUGCAGGUUCGAUUCCUGCCAGGGCCA
rnacentral:tRNA from 2 species